GACGAACGCUGGCGGCGUGCCUAACACAUGCAAGUCGAGCGGAGUCAGUAAGAGGAAGUUUUCGGAUGGAAUCUUAUUGAUUUAGCGGCGGACGGGUGAGUAACGCGUGAGCGACCAACCUUGCACAGGGGGAUAACGGACCGAAAGGUUCACUAAUACCGCAUGAGACCACGGUGUUGCAUGACACAGGGGUCAAAGGAGCAAUCCGGUGCAAGACGGGCUCGCGUCCGAUUAGGUAGUUGGAGGGGUAACGGCCCACCAAGCCUAUGAUCGGUAGCCGACCUGAGAGGGUGAUCGGCCACAUUGGAACUGAGAUACGGUCCAAACUCCUACGGGAGGCAGCAGUGGGGAAUAUUGGGCAAUGGGGGAAACCCUGACCCAGCAACGCCGCGUGAAGGAAGAAGGUUUUCGGAUUGUAAACUUCUGUCCUUGGUGAAGAGAAGAAGACGGUAGCCAAGGAGGAAGCCCCGGCUAACUACGUGCCAGCAGCCGCCGCGG
rnacentral:rRNA from 1 species